GCAGGCGAGAAAACUGUGCAAUGCGCGAAAGCGCGACACGGGAAGCCUGAGUGCCUUAACUAUGUUAAGGCUUUUCUUGAUCCUAAAAAGCUCAAGGAAUAAGAGCUGGGUAAGACGGGUGCCAGCCGCCGCGGUAACACCCGCGGCUCGAGUGGUAGUCACUUUUAUUGAGCCUAAAGCGUUUGUAGCCGGAUUUGUAAAUCUCUAGGAAAAUACUUCUGCUCAACUGAAGAAAUUUUGGAGAGACUGCAAAUCUAGGGACCGGGUGAGGUUGAAUGUACUUCUGGGGUAGGGGUAAAAUCCUGUAAUCCUGGAAGGACGACCGGUGGCGAAGGCGUUCAACUAGAACGGAUCCGACGGUGAGGAACGAAGGCUAGGGGAGCAAACCGGAUUAGAUACCCCUGUAGUCC
rnacentral:rRNA from 1 species